rnacentral:rRNA from 1 species
GACGAACCGUGCGAACGUUGUUCGGAUUCACUGGGCUUAAAGGGCGCGUAGGCGGCCUGCUAAGUCGGACGUGAAAUCCCUCGGCUCAACCGAGGAACUGCGUCCGAUACUGGUGGGCUUGAAUCCGGGAGAGGGAUGUGGAAUUCCAGGUGUAGCGGUGAAAUGCGUAGAUAUCUGGAGGAACACCGGUGGCGAAGGCGGCAUCCUGGACCGGUAUUGACGCUGAGGCGCGGAAAGCUAGGGGAGCAAACGGGG